rnacentral:lncRNA from 10 species
GUGGCUUCGCGUUUGGAGGCCCGGGGAACCGCCCCAAUGGAAGUGAAGGGGAGAUCGGCACCGGAACUGGGGCGGGGCGAAGGAGACCCUCAGCCUGCACUUUAUCUCAUUCAUGAAGUGGAGACGACACCUUGGAUCCCAUGCCCUCCCUCUGUUGCUGGACUAACUCAUGAAGCUACUACUGUGUGCUUUGCUUCUCGCAGAGGGG